rnacentral:misc_RNA from 1 species
GUUAGGUUCUCUUUUAUCUAGCCAUUCAAGGAAGUUUGAAUCCUCUUUCCAUAAAUUUGAUGCAAGUGACUUGGAUUCAUUUAUUAUUAUAAUUAAGAAAAUAAACGAGGUCAUUUAUUUAAUGAUAUUAAAGAUAGAAAAUUAUAAUAAAAAAUUUAAAGAUAAACCUACAAUAUGUAUGGACACAUUUAAUUUACUGUAAUUAUUAUAUUAAUUAUGUUAAGUAAUCAACAAGAAGUUUUGCUAUUAAAAAUUAUGAUUUAUGAUUGUAAUUGUAACACUCCACAUGAAUCAGAAGGGCGAUAAGUAUGAGAGACGAUGAACUGUACCACUCUAGAAACAAGCUUAUCAACCCCAACAUCUGCCGUUGUAUCUACAACCAACUUCGGUACAUCACCAACAUCAUAAUCAGUGCACCCAUCGUACUCUUCCAGUAACCUCUGGAGAUCUUGCCACGUGGAAGGCUUAUGCCAACUGGCUUGAUGAGCAGCGCCGCGUUGUUCUAGUCUGCGACGCCACUGAUCCUCAUCCAACGGCUUACAUUCAAUGAUCACAAGGCGUGCCCCGGCGGAUGAUGCCAAAAAUCCUAAUUGAUCGAGGUGUGUCUUACGAGAGAGAGGAGAAUCAAGUAUGACGCUGAGGCCGAGUCGAAGCUGCGUGGAAGCGAUUUGCCAGAUGACGUGAUAGGAAAGAUCGUUGAGAAGCUUGGAGAUGGAAGCAAUGGAGGAUCGCGAAGAGUUUUGGAGAGAGAAAGUGCAGUGGCGAACAUCGUCUUUGUCUAUGAGAGGGAUUUUAAGAAAGGAAGCUAAGGAUUGGGCCAAAGUGCUCUUGCCCGUACCUGGAUGGCCUUUCAUUGCUAUUAUCAUCUUCGCUUGCCCUAAAUCUACCAUCUCUCUCUCUCCCUCUCCCUCUAUCCAUUCUGCAAGGAAGAAAGGAAAGGAUACAGAAGUAAUUAAUGGGGAUUUGCUGGAGCUCGCCUGCUGAUGUGCCAUCCCCAGACCCACCACCAAUAUCAACCACCAUCGACCGUCUGAAUCCUGAUACAUCUCUUGUUAGUGACAGAAGCUGGCAGACUGUGGCAAGCACCGAUUUCACAUGGGCAUCUCAAGUGAGUACCAGUUUAACAGUUCCUGGGACUAAUAAUGCCACUGAGAACAGCCAAGGCUCAGAAGGAAUUGAUUUUGAGGGUCUUUCUAAUGGGGAAAUUAUUGCUGGUGAAACCUUGAGAGUUUUCACAUAUGCACAGUUGAAGGCUGCCACCCACAAUUUUAGAAGAGAUAUGCUCUUGGGAAGGGGAGGUUUUGGAAAAGUUUAUAAAGGGGGGCUCAAGGAGUAUGUGCCAUCUGAGGGCAAAAAGAAAUCGGUCAUCGCUGUCAAGAAAUUGGAUACUAUGGGCAGGCAAGGAUUUAAAACGUGGCUGGUAUGUCUAUUGCACUGUUUUUAAAAUUUCAUGCGUUUUGUGGGUUCUGAUUUUCUUUAUGGAGCUUAUCUAUUGUGCUUCUUUUGACAACAAUACUGGAAAAUGAGAAUCUCUAGUCGUAAAUGGAAAUUGUUAAUUAUAUUUAUAGUUAGGGAAGGAUAAAUGAAUGAAAUUUAGCUUGAAAUUUUUGGUGGCCUAUGGAACUGCUGUUAGCUAAACCUGAGAUCAUGAAGGUAUGCUACGGCUACUGAACAAUGGGUUGCAUUCCAUUAGAUUCUUAUGAUGUUAAGGUCGUAAAUAAAUUUGAAUAUUUACAAGGAAUUAAUUACUUCUAGUUAAAGGAAAACAUUUUAUUAAUCAUUUUAUUGGCCUCUUGGCAUAAUAUUAUCCAAAGGUUGCUUGAUUAGCUUUAGGUCAAUUGGUCAUUUUAUCAAAGAACUUUCAGGUCCUCAUGCUGCUGUCUUCCUUCCCUCUCCCCUAAUGUUCCUUAUGUAAAUUAUGUUUUUUCCCCUAAUUGUAUAAUUGGAAGACAAGUGCAUUAACUGAAAACUCAUAAUUCUACAUUUUGAUAUGGUUACUUAGAAUAGGAAUCAUGAAGAUCAAACGUACCAACAUAUUGUUUUACUGUGGCUGAAAUUAAAAGGAGACAUCUAAUUUGCUUGACACAUGGAAUUAUGAAGUGUGUUCCUUUUAUCAAAUGAUUUGUUUUGUUGAUACGUUGCCUGCAUAGCUAAUUGAGAAUUACACUUUAGGUGAUAGUGUUGUAGUUUAAUGAUCUCUUUGUGUGGUUAAGAAAGUUUUUUGAUUGUGGUGUUAUGCAUAACUAUCUGAUAGCACUAACAUUUUUUUCCAUAUUGAUUGUGGUUAGAUAAUUCUGAGUUCAGUGAUAUUUUGGAUCUGUAGAAUCAGUACUCUUUUAACCCUCUCUGGGACAGGGAACUAUUUCUUAGCUUUAACAAUUUCCUUACGUUUCAGUUGUAAUUUACUCAAGUAAUAACAUAUCAAUUGUAAUUUACUCAAGUAAUAAGCUGUCAUAUGUGCAUUCUGUUUUUGUGCUUAUGCUUUGUCCAUCUUGGUGCAGUCAGAGGUGCGAAUUUUGGGAAAGCUUUCUCACCCUAACCUUGUGAAGUUGUUGGGAUACUGUUUGGAGAAUAAAAAAUUCCUCCUUGUGUAUGAAUUAUUGCAGAAUGGCAGCUUAAAUUACCAACUAUUUGGAAGUAAGAGCUAAGAAACAUUGCUUAACAUUCCCCCAAGCAGAAUCACAGUUUUCCUACAAGUGUAUUUUUUGUUUGCUACAGGUAAACAUUCAUUUUGUUCUUUGUAUGCUAUUUGUUUCUGCUUGUGCAGAGGGCUCAGUUCGGCCACUUCCAUGGGACAUAAGGUUUAAGAUUGCUUUAGGAAUAGCUCGAGGACUGGCAUACAUGCACACGCUAGAUGCACCAAUAAUUCACAGAGAUCUCAAGUCUUCAAAUAUACUUCUUGAUAAGGUAAAGUUUUAUAUAUUUUAGACUUCCAACCAGAAAUAAUUCUAUUAAUCCUUGAUGAUGAAGAUUUAUCCCCAUUCUCUCUCUUGAGAAUGUGCUUUAUCAUCCAGUCUUCCUUUCUUUUCAUCACAUUGUGAUUGUGAGAAGGAAGGCUAAUCAUUGAAGAACAUGUAUAAAAUUGCUUCUUUUUCCUGAAAAUUUCGUGUGAGGAUCCAUAAUUCAUAUGCUUCUUCUAACCUUUGAUUUCAGUCUUAUAAUGCAAAAAUUUCAGACUUUGGCUUGGCAUUUUUGGGUUCUUUCGCUAGUUCUUCACAUGCCACAACAAGUUUAUCAGGCACUCUUGGUUAUAUGGACCCAGAGUACAUUGCCACAGGUAAUUACUAAUUUCUUUUGCACUUUUGGAACUUGAAUGACUCCAUGGUCAAAUGAUGAUCUACAUAAAACUUCUGACCUUUGUUAGCGUGGAAUUACUUGAAGCCACUUGACAUAAAUCUGCCUUUAAGCUUUGCCAUGACAUCGAUGUUAUGCUGAUUGAAUAGGGCAUUUGUACGUAAAGACUGAUGUGUACAGUUUUGGAGUUGUUAUGGUUGAGAUUCUAACAGGCUUACGUGCAAUUGAUAAAAGACGUCCGACAGAGCAAUGGGUACUUGUGGAUUGGGUGAAACCAUAUCUAUCAAGCAAAAGGAAGUUGAAAAAAAUAAUGGACUCCCGGUUAGAGGGGAAAUAUCCCUACAAGGAAGUCUCGCAAAUAGCUCAGCUUGCUAUUAAGUGUCUUCAACAAGAACCCAAAUUCCGACCAUCCAUGAAAGAAAUUGUUGAGAUAUUGGAACAGAUUGAAGCAUGCCAUCAUAAAACAAAGAGAGCCUAAAUAUUAACUCUGCUCAUGUUAUCGCCUAUCAACAGUUACAUUUGCUCUUAAACAAAAGCAGGAUGUUAAAUCAAUAAAUCUAGUGUAGAAGCACUUGCCCCGAGCAGCGUAACUUUGCCAUGAAUGCCAUUGUCAACGGAAGCUCUUCACCUGAAAUGACUGAACUGCAUCUAUGUGACAGGUCAGGUAAUCACUUCCCCAUGAAAUAUUUCAGAGUUCCUAUUAUGUAAUGAGAUAUGGAAUGGAUUGGGAUUGAUAUGUAGCUAGAGGGGUGACUUCCAUUGAUUCAAUAUAGUUCCCAAGAAAUUCUUAAUAAAUUUAACUCAAUAAAUUAUGUUUUUAGGCUAUGUUGGCAAUAGCUAAGACAUUGAAGCAUGCCAUCAUAAAAC